CCUGCCCGCCGCCUCUCCCCGCUUCCGCCCCCGGCGCAGGCACGCGGACCCGAGCGAGGCGGCAAGGUCGGUCCUACCCUGCCGGGCCUCCCCCGCGCGCCCCCGGGUCCCCAGCCGGCUGACCCCCGGCCAGGCAGGCCCGCAGGGUAGGCAGGACCGGAGCCCGGAGGCCCUGGCCGGCCUCGGAGUUGAGGCUCAGCUCAGGAUAAGUGAUCUUUGGGGCCCGCAGAGGACGUCUCCCCAAGACCCAGUGUCAACCGGCUUUUCCUGAGGCUCUUCUUGAUGCACAGGGACCUGUGUUGAUCCUUGGAGCUGCAAAGCUAAAAUGACACUUGAAAGACGGAACAAGUGAUUACAAGGCAGUGUGGGUAAACUGGAUCUUUGGAAACACCCCCAAAGGCAUUUGGAUUCAAGUCUGGAGAAUAGGCAAACUCAAUGGAAACUUGGGCAGUGACUAUCCCUGUGAGCUUCAGUUUUGUCAUCUGUGAAGUGGGAUAAUAACAUCUAUCUUUGAAGGUUGUGAAGAUCAAGUGAGAUGAUUCAUACAAAGAGCUUGCUUCGUGACUGGUGCAUACCAGGUGUUCAAAAAUGAAUGCCACUGUGUAUGACGAUACCAAGGUAUUAGUGACUCCAGUUGGCCUUGAGCGGAGCCGGAGCUAACUAAUCUCAGAGGGAGGGGAGGGGAAGAGGUGAGGAGUGGGUGGGAGCUGUCCAUGGUUCUGCGUCCAUUCAGCCAAGAAGCCAUUUAACUGAGUAAACAUCGGUGAUCACCUCUUUUGGGUCAGUACUCUUCUCGGCACCGAAUUCUUCAGGCAAAAGGAAAGCGCUUCUUGGGUUCUCAGAGUCUCAUGCACACAGAGGUGAGCGUGUUGGCGAGCAUAGGGCUGUCUCAUGUACGUGAAUCUCUGUGGGCACAGUUGUUCUAACACUGUGUAAGUGUAAUCUGUGUGUGUGUGUGUGUGUGUGU